GACGAACGCUGGCGGCGUGCUUAACACAUGCAAGUCGAACGGAAAGGCCCUGCUUUUGUGGGGUGCUCGAGUGGCGAACGGGUGAGUAACACGUGAGUAACCUGCCCUUGACUUUGGGAUAACUUCAGGAAACUGGGGCUAAUACCGGAUAGGAGCUCCUGCUGCAUGGUGGGGGUUGGAAAGUUUCGGCGGUUGGGGAUGGACUCGCGGCUUAUCAGCUUGUUGGUGGGGUAGUGGCUUACCAAGGCUUUGACGGGUAGCCGGCCUGAGAGGGUGACCGGCCACAUUGGGCCUGCGGUAGGGCCCAGACUCCUACGGGAGGCAGCAGGGGGGAAUAUUGUACAAUGGGCGGAAGCCUGAUGCAGCAACGCCGCGUGCGGGAUGACGGCCUUCGGGUUGUAAACCGCUUUCGCCUGUGACGAAGCGUGAGUGACGGUAAUGGGUAAAGAAGCACCGGCUAACUACGUG
rnacentral:rRNA from 1 species